rnacentral:rRNA from 1 species
CCUACGGGGGGCAGCAGUGGGGGAUAUUGCACAAUGGGGGAAACCCUGAUGCAGCGACGCCGCGUGUGGGAAGACGGUCCUCUGGAUUGUAAACCACUGUCCCCAGGGACGAAGAUGACGGUACCUGGGGAGGAAGCUCCGGCUAACUACGUGCCAGCAGCCGCGGUAAUACGUAGGGAGCGAGCGUUGUCCGGAAUUACGGGGUGUAAAGGGAGAGUAGGCGGGGAUGCAAGUUGGCUGUAAAAACUACCGGCUCAACUGGUAGUCGCACUCAAAACUGCAGCUCUUGAGUGAAGUAGAGGCAGGCGGAAUUCCUAGUGUAGCGGUGAAAUGCGUAGAUAUCAGGAGGAACACCGGUGGCGAAGGCGGCCUGCUGGACUGCAACUGACGUUGAGGCCCGAAAGCGUGGGGAGCAAACAGGAUUAGAUACCCCAGUAGUC